CUGCUCAGAAAGGAAACAGCAUACGCUUGUGGAAAUCAUUUGUGCUGUUCACUACGUUUCUCUAGCUCAUCAAGAGAUUGCAUCUCUCUGCUGCCCAUAAAGUGACACAUGACCCUAUAACCGGCUUCAGGAAAUGAGAGUGGAAACACAGCUUGAAGAGUUGGUCUGCCAUGUACCAUGCUGUCUCUCCCCUUGCCGCCAUGACAACUUGGCACUGUUCCAGUAAUGGCGGCUCCGCCAGCCUGGGUCCCAGAGUGUGGAAGGCAAGCAGCAGAGCCUUCAGGAGAUCUGUGCUAGGUGAAUUAACACUUCUUCCGGAAGUCCCUCCCUUAAACCGGAAACCAUCUGCUGCCCAGUGUUGUGACUUCCAAAAGGACCAAGCCUUUUACGGCACUCAGGGUCUUGUGAUUGUCUGCUUGCAACAUCUGCUGUCCUUGCCCAGGGCUACAUCCACAGCCGCUCCUGCAAAAAUACAGGAUCAAUCCUUCAAGAUAAGAGAAUUUUAUCGUGGAAGCAGAGCGAGUGGCAUCUCCCCACUGCACCAGAAAGGCUUCUGGAGUUCACGCACUGCCCUUGGCUCCUCCAGUUGCUAUCAAGUUGAUUUACUUCUGCAUGGAGCAUCUUAGGACCUAAGAAUAGCAAUGAUGAAACCCAGAAAGAAAAGGCAGACUCACAGCAUGGAACACACUGUCUGGCUCAACUAAUAUUUGUUGCCUAAAGCAGGCACCAUGAGAAGGAAAAGUAAAUCGCUGCAGCCUGAGAAAAUGUGGUACCCUCAACUGGGUAAAACCAUCGUAGGCAACAUGGCUCAUGGUGCAAGGUUCUUAAAAAGAAGAAACAACAUUGCUUGCUUCAGCAGCACAUAUACUAAAAUUGGAACAAUACAGAGAAGGUUGGCAUGGCCCCUGAGCAAGGAUGACAUGCAAAUUCAUGAAACGUUACAUAGGUUUUUACUAUAGGUAACAAUACAUUAUAUAGUUUCAACUAGCUAGGGGGAGGAUAUUGAAUGUUUCCAAUCCAAAGAAAUGAUCAGUGUUUGAGAGGAUGGAUAUGCUCGCUCAUUACCCUGACCUGAUCACCAUACAUUAAAUGUAUCAAAACAUCACUGUCCACCCAUGAAUAUGUACAAUUAUUUUUUGUCAAUUUUAAAAAAUAAGACACAACAAACUAUAUGCAGCAUAAUCCACAGAAACAAUAAGAGCUCCAAGACUGAUAUGAAGGAAAGGAAGAGCUCCUUGUUUAUCUUGAAACAUAUGAAUUCUGCUGGACUCCUUCAUUUUGUAGUCAUUGUAAAACUCUUAUGCUUUCAGCACUUAAAAUUUUUCAAUAUCAGAAACACUUUGAACUACCUAACAGUUUCCUGUAUUUGGUUUUGUAUUCCAGAAAAGGGGUCUAAAAUACUUUAACAGAAAACAUUUCUACCAUAUGUUCUAAUAAUAAAUUCACUUCCUAGUUAUAUACAGCGAUCCAUUAAACUUUAAUAAUAAUAUUUUUGUUUCUAUUAAAGACUAAGAACUUUUCA